rnacentral:rRNA from 1 species
GACGAACGCUGGCGGCGUGCUUAACACAUGCAAGUCGAACGGAAAGGCCCUGCUUUUGUGGGGUGCUCGAGUGGCGAACGGGUGAUUAACACUUGAGUAACCUGCCCUUGACUUUGGGAUAACUUAAGGAAACUGGGGCUAUACCGGAUAGGAGCUCCUGCUGCAUGGUGGGGUUUGGUAAGUUUCGGCGGUUGGGGAUGGACUCGCGGCUUAUCAGCUUGUUGGUGGGGUAGUGGCUUACCAAGGCUUUGACGGGUAGCCGGCCUGAGAGGGUGACCGGCGACAUUGGGACUGAGAUACGGCGCAGACUCCUACGGGAGGAAGCAGUGGGGAAUAUUGCACAAUGGGCGGAAGCCUGAUGCAGCAAAGCAGCGUGCGGGAUGACGACCUUCGGGUUGUAAACCGCUUUCGCCCGUGACGAAGAGUGAGUGACGGUAAUGGGUAAAGAAGCACCGGCUAACUACGUG